rnacentral:rRNA from 1 species
UACGGGGGGGGCAAGCGUUGUUCGGAAUUACUGGGCGUAAAGGGCGCGUAGGCGGCCAUCUAAGUCAGACGUGAAAUCCCUCGGCUCAACCGAGGAACUGCGUCUGAUACUGGAAGGCUUGAAUCCGGGAGAGGGAUGUGGAAUUCCAGGUGUAGCGGUGAAAUGCGUAGAUAUCAGGAAGAACACCCGUGGCGAAGGCGGCUCUCUGGGACGGUACUGACGCUGAGACGCGAAAGCGUGGGUAGCAAACAGG